AUUUUUUAGUUUCAAAAUGUUAUGUCCAAAUCUAUUAACCAUUCAAUCUAUUAAAAAUAAAAAAUUAGUUAAGUGAGUUAUAUUUUUAAAUAUAAGAAAUUUGAGGAAUUGAAAUUUUUAUUUUAUUUUUCAAAAUCUAAAUAUCCGAACCCGAUCCGAAAUAAACGAACCCGAACUAAAAAUACCUGAACCCGACCCGAAGUACAGAAAUACCCGAAUGGGUUCUAUACCUCUAUACGAAAAUACCCGAAAAUCCGAAAUACCCGACUCGAACCCGAACGAGUACCCGAAUACCCACUCCUAUUUACAUCGGUGCAAAUAUGGCAUUUAUUCUUGUAUAUGGAGUGCAAAUUCUCUUUAACAAAAAAAAAACGUAUUUUUAGUUUUUAGAUUCCUAAUUUUUCUCAAAUCCCCACGAUCGCUUUCACACGUCGUACGUACGUACGUAACUCCCAAAAUCAUAAUCAUGGCACAAAAUCUAACAGUUUCAUCUUCUUUAUUCUUGCUUUUCUCCUCCUUCUUCUCCAUGUUUCAUAUUCUUCAUCAAAUUUUUUCCAGAUUUUCAGUGCAUCAGCAAAAAUCAAUAGAGGCACUACGUAGCAAAAAGAAAUCCUGUCCAAUAGAAAAGGUACAGAUUCUGCAAACUUUACAGUUUUGUCUCUGCUUUUCCAUAAUUUCGAUUCAAAUUCUUACAAACUAGCUUUGCAUUUCCCCCCACGAGCACUUGAUCUUCAUUAUGUCUUAUGUUUUUGUAUAUUUUACAGUUUGUUCAAUGGUAUUUUUUUGAACUGCAGUUUGUUCGAUGGUUUUUUUUUUUAACUGCAGUUUGUUCAAUGUUAUUAUCAUACAUAGUCGUCCUGCCAAAUUGUUUCAGUUACUCUUGCCAUCUUUUCAUACAUUGUCAUCAUAUUUCUCUGCAAAAGCUGAAAUGAAUUAUGAUACAAUACAAAUUAAUACGAGGUCUCGAUCGUGAACCAAAUGUGUUUCUCUUAACGAGAGUAACUCAUUUCAAAGCUGGUGCACGAUGGUGUAAGAUAGCCAGGCACAAUAAUAAAUAUUAGAGAUUGACAUGUGCCCCCGCGUGGAUAUUGAGUUCUGAUAUUUUUAUACAUUAAUAUUUGCUUUUAAUAAUUAGUGUUAUAUAUGUAGGAUGUGUCGUAAUAUAACUAAUGGUAUUUAAAUGAUCUGGACCGAAUCGGGUAAUAUGAUUAUUUUUGGUAAAAAUAUAUGAAUCUGUUUCAGAUAGAUUUGUUAUUUAGAUAUUUUUAGGUUCAUAUACAUUAGAACCGAACACAUCUAGACUCAGAAGAAUCCAACUCAAAACCCACACAUAAAUUUAUAAUAUUCAAGCGGGGUCUAAUUUCAAAAAAAAAAAAUA